rnacentral:rRNA from 1 species
GACGAACGCUGGCGGCGUGCUUAACACAUGCAAGUCGAACGAAGUGGCGAACGGGUGAGUAAAGCGUAAUCAACCUGCCCUUCAGAGGGGGACAACAGUGGGAAACGACUGAUAAUACAGCAUACUGCAGGAGGGGGUUGCGUCUGAUUAGCUAGUUGGAGGGGUGACGGCCCACCAAGGCGAUGAUAAGUAGCCGGUCUGAGAGGAUGAACGGCCAAAUUGGGACUGAGACACGGCCCAGACUCCUACGGGAGGCAGCAGUGGGGAAUCUUCCGCAAUGGACGAAAGUCUGACGGAGCAACGCCGCGGGAGUGAUGACGGCCUUCGGGUUGUAAAGCUCUGUUAAUCGGGACGCGGUACCGGAAUAGAAAGCCACGGCUAACUACGUGCCAGCAGCCGCGGUAAUAC